rnacentral:lncRNA from 1 species
GGCCGGGCGUGGUGGCUCACGCUUGUAAUCCCAGCACUUUGGGAGGCCGAGGCGGGUGGAUCACGAGGUCAGGAGAUCGAGACCAUCCUGGCUAACACGGUGAAACCCCGUCUCUACUAAAAAUACAAAAAAAAAAUUAGCCGGGCGUGAUGGCGGGCGCCUGUAGUCCCAGCUACUCGGGAGGCUGAGGCAAGAGAAUGGCGUGAACCUGGGAGGCGGAGCUUGCAGUGAGCCGAGAUUGCGCCACUGCACUCCCGCCUGGGCCACAGAGCGAGACUCCGUCUCAAAAAAAAAAAAAAAAAAAAAAAAAAAAAA